ACAACAUUCGGACCAUCAGUCUACCUAGCAAUAUCACGGGUCGGUGGAAGAUCUUCUUUUUGACAU
rnacentral:pre_miRNA from 1 species